rnacentral:rRNA from 1 species
UACGUAGGGUGCAAGCGUUAAUCGGAAUUACUGGGCGUAAAGCGUGCGCAGGCGGCUUUGCAAGACAGAUGUGAAAUCCCCGGGCUUAACCUGGGAACUGCAUUUGUGACUGCAUGGCUGGAGUGCGGCAGAGGGGGGAUGGAAUUCCGCGUGUAGCAGUGAAAUGCGUAGAGAUGCGGAGGAACACCGAUGGCGAAGGCAGCCCCCCUGGGCUAACACUGACGCUCAGGCACGAAAGCGUGGGGAGCAAACAGG